rnacentral:misc_RNA from 1 species
UGACAACUCAAGUCGCUUUGGUAAACUAAUUGAAAUCCAUUUCAGUGAAACUGGAAAAAUAUCUGGUGCCAAAAUUCAAACUUUUUUACUUGAAAAGUCUAGAGUGGUCCAAUGCAUGGAGGGAGAAAGGUCGUAUCACAUAUUUUAUCAGCUUUGUGCUGGGGCUCCACGUACACUUAAAGAAAAGAUAAAUUUGAAGAGUGUAAGUGAGUAUAAAUAUUUGGGGCAGAGUAAUUGCUACUCAAUUAAUGGGGUUGAUGAUGCUGAGCGCUUUCAUGUUGUUACGGAAGCUUUGGAUAUUGUUCAUGUCAGCAAG